AAUCCACAGAUUGAGUCACCAACACUUAGGCAAGCGUUGAGGAGACGGAAUGGUGGUAAAUUCCAGGAUGCUUUUAGGCGGCAAAGGAAGGAGUCCCCAAAUUAGUGCCACCUAGCGGUUUGCUAGAGUAAGGUCUGCAGCCCAGGUCAUCGAACGCACAGAGGAAGGAACAAACAUCAAGAAAAUGUUUUGCAACUCCUUCAAUCUUCCAGGCAACGAUUGCUAAGUGUCCAUGUUGAAAAUUCAUUGAGAUGGGUUCAUCCACCUGGUCACCUGGUGCAUCAGCAGCUGAUUAAUAAAUCCUUGAGCAACUCUUUGGUAAACCCUCCAUGUAAGGAAAAGCUGUAUGAAUGAAAGCCUGUGAGUUCCAUCUCCUUGGCUGUUUCCUCUGA
rnacentral:lncRNA from 1 species